GCCUCGACGCCGCCUGCUCGCUUCGGCGCGGCGGCGCCCCACCUCCCCUCCUCCGACACGACGGCGCGGCGCCCUUCUGCGGUCGACGCCUCCGUCCUCCACCCUCCCUCUCCUCCAUCUUCCCGCCAUCCUCAACUACAAGACGACACUGCGGUGGCGAUCGCAUCGAUCCCUCUACCUCAUCACGACCCGGCGGGGGCGACCGAGCGGCGGCGGCGGCAGCGGCGACGGCGGCCGGAUCAUGGGACUAGGAAGGGAGGUGUGGGGGGUGGUUCCGCCCCGGCGACCGAGGUCGAAGCGGCGCUGUUCUGAGCAGGUGACCCAAGAACGUCAUUAACUGCGCAAAUAAUUAGGUUCAUGGAUGAUACCUCUGUGGACGCAAGUAGUUCAAGGACAAUGGACAUAUAAGCUCUGGGACUGGGAGUUGGAGCCAUUGUCUAAGUGAUGCUUUUAGAAGAUCUACUCAAGCAGAUAUAUGGCUAUCACGUCACGUGCAGAGAUUCUUCCAAAUGUGCUAAUGAAUUAGCAUUUCACUUCAUAGAAGCACUGACAAAGAAUCUUCAACUCUUCCACAAGAUAGACUGGUACAACAUGGAUGUAUUUACUUUCAAGAAGUGCAAAUUACUGAAUGUUAACAGUUCAUAUCUAGUAUAUAAUGCAUGCUUUGACAUAACAGGGAUAAUAUGGUGACAUGAUAAAAUUGAUUAAUUUCAAGCUGAUGCUUUUCCAGUGUGCUUUCAUGGAUCAUGCUCUACUUCAAAUAAUGGAACGCUUUGCUCAAGCCAGUCCAAAUAAGCAAAACCCUUCUUCGUUGUUUCACUUGUACAUAUAGCUCUUUGCUAUCUUGCAAAAGGAUUUCUAGAUCCUGAUAUUAAAUCUACAUGGCAGUCCAAUUCAUGAUUUGCAUAUUCCAAUUCAUGCCAUGAAUAUGGUUCUUGUAUCAAUCUUGUAGUGCGGUGUAUUUGCAACUUUCAAGAAGUCUUAUCCUCCUUAAACAUGUCCUGGGUACUUUUUGACAGCCUAAACUCUAUUUGCUGGGUUAUUCUAGAUAAGUAUUUGUUUUUUUUGGUACUUUCUAGGUUCCAUAGUUCCACCCAUGCAACAAAUUGAAUGCUAUAGCUGUCAUUGUGGGGCUGUGGGCACCUAAACUUAAUUUCUGAUUUACUGUCAUCCCAUGACCCCUCUAUCAACCUCCAGAAUAUGUUACUGUGGCCUUUGCUACUUAAGUGCAUUUUAUAAUUUCUAAAUUGAAUGUCUCAGGAAAAUGUCUGGAACAUGCCAGGUGUUAUGGUUUUCAUUGUGCAACACAUAAUUGGUUUAAUAGUUUCUAAAUAUGAUUGUGCACUUAACCAUCUGUUGAUUCAACUUGCCAGCAUAAAUAGUUCCAACUGAAACGCAGUUUAUGCUCAAAACGAAUGACCAAACAUGGGGUGAAUUCUUUUGUCGAACUAUCCUAUCUUGGUCUACAGGCUGUUUAUAACUCAAACCGGUGCGCUAAACUUGUGAAGUAAAACUGCUUGGACUACUAACAGCUAAAGUUUCAAAGGCAUCCUGCAAAAGGACCUAUUGGUCUGAACUUUGAAGGUAUUUGGAUGUUACAAGCAUGUCCACAUUUUCGGUGCUGCAAACAACCAGACAGGGUCCCUGUGGUUGCUGGUGUUGUACAGAAUUGCUGAACACAUCAUUUACUUUGCUGGCUGUCAAUCUGUCAUGUAUUUGGAUAUACACCCGUAUAUCUAGAUAAAGUUAGAAAUUACUUGGAAGAAAGCACUAACUUAGUACUCGUAUAUGCCAUUUGUGACAGCCUUUUUUUUCUUUCACGGGAAACGGGGACUUUGUAUUUUUAUUAUUAUACUCCUGUUCUGUACCGUGUACAGUGCAUUGUAUAAGAGGACUUUUAAAUACAGCCGAUUCGGCUGUGCUGUGCUCCUUAAAUAAUUCAUUAAUUAAUUCAUUGUUGUAUUCGCUGGUACUACUAGCUGCCAUCUUUUGAAUUGGCAUCUUGUACACUGCUAGUACUCCACUACUAUUGCCUGUUGCUUGUAACCAUUGCCUACCACACAUACAUCUUCUUUACAUCUGUGUCUUCUUCAACAACCAGACCUCCAUUACUCCACAAAGCUGCUUUCUCCCCCUCCUUCCCUAGGUAUCCUCAAUGGAAGCUGCUUCCUAGAUCCAGCCCCAAUCCACCCUUCCUUCCAAGUCCCCAUAUCCACAAAUCAACACACCAUGUCUUCUUGUUCUUCCUCCUCUCCCCAGAAAGCCAUAGAUGCUAGUUAUCAACUAUCAACUCCAUGGAUCUUGUUCUUCCCAGCUUCAAAGCCCCUCCAACACCAAAGUUCAGAUCUGUCCUCCUUCCCUUCACCUAGCUCUAUAUUAGAAGCUUGUGAGGGCUAAGAUGGCCAUGGAGGACAAUGAAUCAGGGGCAAGAUGAACUCUAAGAUGGCUGGCCAUGGAUGAAGAUUGAAGCUGCUAUUGGUCUAUGAAUCAAGGUAAAGAGAAUCCCUUCAUCUUAAGUAGAGAUAUGCACCAUGUUGCUGGCUUUAGUUUCAAAAGAAGUUCACCGAGGGAGGUCCGUUUAUGCUUGUCCAUCUUCUGCUUUGGAUUGGAAGCGAGAACGGCGAAUUACAAAAGAAUUUGCAGCAAAAAUCUCUCGAUAUCUUUGCCUGCGCCGCAGCCACCGAAAUCUCUUCCUUGCCGGGCCGGCCCAGCUGAGCUCGAUCCGCCCCCCCCCCCCCCCCCCACAAUAUCUUCCAGAGACAUCCAUUCCCCGGCUCGAUGAGAUUCUACGUCGCAUACAUAAACCACAGUCUAAACCCUAAGUGAACCCCUCGUCCCAUUCGACUCGCCACGCCCCCGCCUCCGCCGCCGCCUCCGCCUCGUCUUCCUCCGCGUCGGCGAUGGCGAGGAGAGGGGAUGAUGAACUGGAUCAGACGUAUCAUCUUCUGUAUCGCCCGCGCGCGAUCUGGGGCCGCCGUCCCCGCCCCAACGGUGGCCGACGCCGCCCUCGCCCCAUCCAAGGGUUGUUCCGCGUGAGCCAUCCGGCGGUGAACCCUACAGCCGAGCCCAUCAGGCGGCAGUUCCUGGAGCAGCUGGAUUACCCUUUACCAACUAUCACUGGUUCUGCUCUGUUGGAUGAGACAAACCUGAUUCUUCAUGAUUUUUACAAGAAUAUAUCUGACAUCAGGUCUCAGAUCUACAACCAGCAAGGUCUGUGACUUGCAAAGAUGAAUGUUGUCAAGGAACAAGCUCUAUGGGAAGAAGCUGAAGAGCUCGUAUGCAUUUCCAAGAAGAUCUUCGAUUCCACUAAUCUUGAUAAGAAGCUGCUUUACCCCUUCCCUAGUUGGUUUAACUCAAGGGAGACUAGGAAGAAGAAUUAUCUAGAUCUUACAUCUUGGGUUAGUUUGCUUGAGACGUAUGCUAAUGAGAGGAGUGCUAGCCCUGAAGCUGAUGGUGAGGCAUAUGAUGUGGGUCUUCUUGAUGACAAGACUGGAGACGCCAGUGCUGAUCUUGACUAUGAAAAGAGUGCCUGCUCUGGAGAGACAAGUGAUGCUGCCUUUGAUGAAGAGAGUGCUAGCCCUGGAGACGCUACCAAAGAGGCUGAUAUUGAUGAACCGAUUGCUAUCCUGGGGACGCCAAUGGUGGCAAGAUCUGUAGAGUGGAGGCCUAUGGCUUGAGUUCUUCAGUGAAGGAAAAGUACUUGGAUAAAUGCUUCCUAACGUUGUCAUAUAUUCCUGAUAUUGUCAUGUGUCAUCUAGGUAUCAUCUAGGAAAGUACUUGGAUAAAUGCUUCCUAACGUUGUCAUAUAUUCCUGAUAUUGUCAUGUCUCAUCUAGGAGAAGUUCAGAAGCCCCUGAGGCAAUCUAACAUCGGCUACUUAUGCCGUGAUAAAAGACUUUGCAUGGAAGUAUUAUCUAUUUCAGAAUCUUGUAUGCAAUCAAACAACUACUACUUAUUAUGGUCUUAUGGAUACCUUGCUUGCUUAUCUUAUCUACAGCUACGGUCAUUGUUUCGUUAUCCAAAAAUGUUUACAGCUGAAGCCGCUUGAAUGGCCAUGCUGCUACUGCGCUGUGAACGUGGCGUGGCACAUGUUUUGUAAAACAUGACCAUAUGGAGUGGGCUAUCCAGGUUUGCAAAACCACCGGUAACCGUGCUCUUACCGCGGGGUACUGUGGUAACCUUCUUAAAUUCAAAUAAAUUUAAAAAGUAAUUUGAAAUUUUGAUAAAUUUUACAUAGUUUUGUACGUUUUGCCGCAGCUACCGUGUAGUAACCGUGGGAAACCCUGGUGCUGCCCCCGCUGCACCGUACAUUCCCGUUCGUCCUCACCGUCGCAAUUUCUUCUUCGCAGCCUCAGCCACCUCGGUUUGGUGAGCGCGGCCGUCUGUUAAUAGCCCCCCGCAGGAAGGACAUCGUGUUAGUGCACUCUUCAUUCAGGAUUGGGGAAAUAAGGUAGAAAGAUGAAUGUGCAAUUCUGGCACUUUGGGGAUCUGUCACAGGACUAAAAUUGAAUCCAAAUUAAGUAGGGUGUUAAUCGUAUUGGACUUGGCGUCCGGAAGAUGUUUGGCUGUGUUCUUUGGACAAUUUUCGUAACAUCACUUUCUCGAUUUUCUAUGCACGUUUUUGCAAACUGUUAAACGUUGUGUUUUUUUUAAAAAAUAUUUCUAUAGAAAAGUUGCUUUAAAAAAUAUAUUAUCUAUUUUUUAUUUUUAUAAUACUUAAUUAAUCAUACGCUAAUAAGGUAUUUUGCUUUUCACGUGGAAGGAAUGAGUUCCCAACAUAAGGAAUUAGGUAUUGUUGUUGGUGGUGAACUCUGGUAGUUGAUAAUGGUAUUUAGACUGGACUGCUUUCGUUAGUUGAAAAAAAAUGCAGAAAAGCAUUCCCUUGGUUUAGCAGCCCCAUCUUCUCGAUUAUACUUAUACUCUCUCCGUCCAAAAAAAAAAACUCAAUUUAGAAGGGGAUAACUAAUCAACCAAAAUUUGAAUUUUCAAUCUAGAAUUUGGAGUUGAUUUUGACGUUUUUGUUUGUAGUUUAUUUCUCAGCAUUUGCUUUUAUAUCGCUAAGAACACGUAUUUUAUUUAUAAAUUAUUUUCGUUUGUAAAUAUGCCGUUUGGCUUAUUCGGGUUUCUUCUGUACUUUGUUAAAUCCUUUAGUACUUCGAUGGUCCAGGAGUGUAUGGUUCUUUUAGCUUCUAGAAAGUUUUAGUACUGCAUGAAGUGUUUCAAGGUGUCAGAUUUCUGUUACUAUAUUCCAACAGCUAACAAUCGUGUUAACCUUCCACAAUGAGGAUGGAGAAUUUAUAAAUCCAUGAUAUAAGUUAAGUUUUUUUAGUGUACUUAUUUUCAAAUUUUAAUGCUUGAGAAAAUUCACCUUUUGUCGUUGAAAUGAUUUAUGAGUUACUUCCUCCGUUUUAUAUUAUAAGUCGCUUUGAAUUUUUUCUUAAUCAAACUUAAAAAUGAUCAAAUUUGUAAAAAAAUAUAGCAACAUUUUUAACACAAAAUAAAUAUAUUAUUAAAAUAUAUUCAAUGUUACAUUUAAUUGAACUAAUUUAGUGUUAUAGAUGUGCUUUAAUCAUUCAAUGUGUAUAUAUAUAUAUAUAUAGCUUCAGUUAUAACUGUUGGAUGCACUUUCCAAGUUCAAGUAAAUUGUCAAUGAAAGGCUUAAAUGGAUGUAUAGAACUCAAUGCAUGUGAAAGGGCAUGGAAUAAUUUUCGCGUCUCAAAUGAAUAACAGACAAACGAUCAUCAAAUGCUCAUCAUCAUAACCAAGCAGCCCUCUAUACUGAAAUUUAAGUGAGGUGCAGUCAUUAUUUAUAAAGCCAACUGUAAGGUGCAUAUAGUAAUCUGUUCUUUUCCCACGUAAUGGGUGGUUUAUGUUUCUUGAUGUUCUCUGUAAAUUUUGCUGCUUUGGCUGUAAAUGUUCUUUGUCAUAAUUCACAUCAUGUAGUAAUCUGGGUCCAGUGGAUCCACUGUCUGUGGUUAGGCUUAGUCAAUCUCUUGGGGCCAAGAUCACUCAUACCCAUUUUACUUUGAAUGAAUUUGGUGGUUUUUGAGGCAGUUUGUCGGUGUAUUUGUAUUGUAAACUGAGUGGAAAUCAGCAGUGUUUCAUCU